CUUCCUCCGCCGCACAGAGUCCAGAAGCCUCCCCGGCGUCGGCCGUGUCGGCACGUGGAGCUCCGUCGUGACGGCGAACAGGCGGACCAGCGUCUUCACCAGCUCAACCUCACCGUCGCGGUAGUGGUGAAGCAAGAGGCGACCUGUUGGUAGGCAACAACACCAAUUUGUUGAUGAGUAAUUAUACCAACCCAUCCAUCUUUUCAUUCAGUUUACUUUCAGAAAAUGCAUACAUCUCUGCAGUUAUUUCACAGAUAAAGCAACUCAUCAUGAUCUGUACAGUUGGAGUACAACAUGAUCUGCACAGGCAUUUGGUUGAGUUGGUGGCAGUCUGGCGGAUACACAUGAUUUGUGCAGGCAUUUGGUUGACCCUGCAAUCUAACCAUUUUUUUACCGGUGUUGCCGCGUUAGUGUUUGUGCUCAAAGGAUGGUGAAGCGCCCGUGUACAGGUCACAUGGGAGGUCCGUACAUCUAUGAUGCUCGAAUUAAUGGCCACCAUUUUUCUAUGCGCAACCAGAUGAGCAUACUUAGGGUCUAGAGAUGGCAUCGAUUCUGUGCUGCUGAUCGAGAUUUGGAUCAAUACUGAUUUUUAAAGGCUCUGUGCCUCAGUGGCUUUGUGAAUCCUAUGUAGGCAGUGAGUGGUGUCUGAGGUCAUUGUGUCGAUGGAAUUAUCUUGAACCGAAAUUUUGUUUGGAUGAAGAGCAAUACACACAAAUGCACCAUUUUUGGAA